UUGAAUGUUAGUUUAGUGGUUUCCGUUGUGGUUUGUGCUUUUCCAUAUUCCCUUCAUCGCAGACGAUGGGUAUGCAUUGCAGCUAUAAUCAUAAUAUAAACGCUUCUGAUAUAAACGAUUUCUCAUCUUCCUGGACGGAGAAUAUAAUUCAAAACUUCAAUCAUUCACAAGAUGACGAAAGUUUUAAUGGUGAAACAUCAGAACGCUUUGUUACAAAUAUCGGUGUAAACAGCGAAGGUGAUUCGUACCCCGAGACGUGCCCGCCAGUUUCCUCUGUCGAAGAAAGGGCAGUGGUUCCCGUAACUUAUCCCAGUCCGAAUUACUUUUAAAUAUAACUAGUGACAGCUCGUCUACUAGUUCUGAGGGUCUUGACAGCAACAUAUCUGAAAAUACUAUUCUUAAGGUACUAAAUCUUCCAAAUCCAGCACAUUUUUUAGAAGAGGAGAAAACAUCUUCAAACAUCGGACAAUUAGAACAUAUUUUCGACUCGGAGUUCCCUUCA
rnacentral:lncRNA from 1 species